UACGAGUGGUGCGAGCGUUAUUCGGAAUUAUUGGGCGUACAGGGUGCGCAGGCGGUGUAUUAAGUCAAUUGUCAAAGACCUCGGCCUAACCGAGGAACGGCGGUAGAUACUGGUACGCUAGAGGGUGGAAGAGAGAAGUGGAAUUCUUGGAGUAGCGGUAAAAUGCGUAGAUCUCAAGAGGAACACCGAUGGCGAAGGCAGCUUCUUGGUCCACAUCUGACGCUCAUGCACGAAAGCGUGGGGAGCAAACAGG
rnacentral:rRNA from 1 species